CAAGUGGUAGACAAAGCUUGGAAACAGUUAUAUUGGGAAAUGACUUUCUUAAUGUUUACACUUCAUAAUAUGCUCUUCUCAGAAACCAAAAAUCAAAUACCAGAAGACAAUGAGAUAGAGAGGAGCAAGAAAAGUUAGCCGUGGAAAGACCCAGUGCAAUGCAUUCCACUCGUGUAGCUGAAAACAGAGAAUCCAUGAACGAUAAGACAAUAAACCUGAGUGGA
rnacentral:lncRNA from 1 species